ACUGAGAAGAUAGUGGCGAACGGGUGAGUAACACGUGGGUAACCUGCCCAUAAGAGGGGGGAUAACAUCCGGAAACGGGUGCUAAUACCGCAUAGUUUCUUGAUCGCAUGAUCGGGAAAGGAAAGACGGCCUUUGUGCUGUCGCUUAUGGAUGGACCCGCGGCGUAUUAGUUAGUUGGUGAGGUAACGGCUCACCAAGACGAUGAUACGUAGCCGACCUGAGAGGGUGAUCGGCCACAUUGGGACUGAGACACGGCCCAAACUCCUACGGGAGGCAGCAGUAGGGAAUCUUCCGCAAUGGACGAAAGUCUGACGGAGCAACGCCGCGUGAGUGAAGAAAGGUUUUCGGAUCGUAAAACUCUGUUGUCAGAGAAGAACAAGUUGGAGAGUAACUGCUCCAGCCUUGACGGUAUCUGACCAGAAAGCCACGGCUAACUACGUGCCAGCAGCGGC
rnacentral:rRNA from 1 species